UACAGAGGUCUCAAGCGUUGUUCGGAUUCAUUGGGCGUAAAGGGUGCGUAGGCGGCGAGGUAAGUCGGAUGUGAAAUCCCGGGGCUCAACCCCGGAACUGCAUUCGAUACUGCUUUGCUUGAGUACUGGAGAGGAGACUGGAAUUUACGGUGUAGCAGUGAAAUGCGUAGAUAUCGUAAGGAAGACCAGUGGCGAAGGCGAGUCUCUGGACAGUUCCUGACACUGAGGCACGAAGGCCAGGGGAGCAAACGGG
rnacentral:rRNA from 1 species